GAUUGUUAUUAUGGGAGCGUACAAGGAAAGAGAGAAAAUAGUGAAGACUCACCAGAAAGAGGACCAGAGCAUGUGGAGACAAAGAUGUUACACCGAGAGGUAUAAAAUGAAACGAAGCUAAAGGAAUGGCUCACAGUGACUGAAUUUUGUAGAUGAUUGAUGAUCGGAAGUUUAAGCCAGCCCCUUGCAGAGGUUGAGUUUGUCCGUUAUUUGAAGCCAAAGGCAUGCUAACUAUAAGAAUGGCUUUCACCCUGCGCUCAGCCUUGUCCUCCGGCAACUUUUGACGGGUAGAGACACACCCUUUGUUCUUCAGCCUAUGAUUUCCUCCACCUCCUGCAUUAAACUGAACUGUGAAUGGAGAGAGAUUCCACGCUGUUGAAACUAUCAAGUCAAAUGACCUUCUGAAGGACGCUUUAAAAGGGGCAUUUCAAAUAAAUUUCAACAGGUGGCCCAAGGGAAAGAUGAACACUCUGUGCUGCCUUCUCCUGAGGAGCAAGCCAGGAGGUUGAACAUAUUGAUCUCAGAUCAGAAAGGCAAGUCAUUGCGUAUACUCACACUGCGGUUUUAAAG